GGUUGUUCUAUGUAAAUCUCCUCAUUUAUGUCUCAUUUUAAAAAGCAGAUUGUUACAUCCAUUUUGAUGAAUUUGUAAAUCAAUAAUUGCCGCAAUAGCAACUAAAAGUCAAAUGGAUAUACUUCUUGUUAUCAGAGAAAAAGUAUCAAAAAUUCUAGGCCUUCUAGUUAUUUAAAACCUUUAGUCACUAGCCUAGCUUUGUAUUUAUUAUGUAACACCCCGAUUCUAUACCCU
rnacentral:lncRNA from 1 species